GACGUAGGGCGCAAGCGUUGUCCGGAUUUAUUGGGCGUAAAGAGCUCGUAGGCGGUGUGUCGCGUCGGCCGUGAAAACCUGCAGCUUAACUGUGGGCUUGCGGUCGAUACGGGCAUCACUGGAGUUCGGCAGGGGAGACUGGAAUUCCUGGUGUAGCGGUGAAAUGCGCAGAUAUCAGGAGGAACACCGGUGGCGAAGGCGGCUCUCUGGGCAUGUCCUGACGCUGAGGAGCGAAAGUGUGGGGAGCGAACAGG
rnacentral:rRNA from 1 species